UGAGGGUGGUGCUUAUAUACACCACCAGCCCAUGAAGGGACAGGAGACUCUGCGUCUCGAGCAGGCUUCCCUGGGCAGGGCUGUGCACGAUGGCCGCAUUUCACAGCCAGAGCCAGACGGUGCUCUGUGGGACUCCACCCCAGGAGCGAGGACUGUGGAAACCUGCCCUGGACUCCUCCUGGAGCCUCCACCUACUGUGUGCAUGUCCUUUCUCCAUGGUGACCAUGACCAUGCGUGCAUAUAACUACCUCUGGGGUCUGUGAGUCCUCCCAGCAAGUCACCAAAGGCAGAAGCCCCACACCAGACACUUUGCCAGGAAUGAUAUAUGAAUGGCAAACAAGCACAGAAGAGAGGCUCAGCAUACCAACCACGAGGGUUUGAAUGUAAACCAGAACCAGAAUGAGCCACGACUUCGUACCUAUUAGGAAGGUUAAAACUGGCCCAGCAAUUUCCCUCCUCAGAAUCUACCCCAAAGAGUUGAAAACAUCUGUCUGCUCAUACCGUGUGCAAAUCUGCAGCAGCAUCACAGCCCAAUACAGCAAGAACUCCGAUGUGCAUUAGUUGAGUGGAGGUGUGUGUGCUGUAUCCAUUCGAUGGAAAGCUGGUAGCUCUCCACUGCCGUAGCAAACACCUGAGAUAACCAGCUUACGAGGACAGAGCCUGACUUUGGUUCACAGUCUCACUGUUCCCACCCCUGACCCCCUCGCUUUGGGGCUGUGGCAAGGCAGAACGUCAUGGUGGGGAGUGCGUGGCAGAGGGAGGAAGCUGCUCACUUCAUGGCAGCCAGACAGCAAAGACAGAGCCAGGUGGAAGAAGGGCUUGGGUCCCCCUCCCCCCUCACACCUCUGUGACACCUUCCUUCCACUAGGCCCCUCCUACCUGGGGCUCCAUCACCUGACCCCAGGGCCACGGACUGGGGACAAAUUCCUCAACACACGUGCCUUUGGGGAAAAUGCAAGAUCCAAACUGC
rnacentral:lncRNA from 1 species